ACUGUGCAAAGGUAGCAUAAUCAUUAGUUUCUUAAUUAGAAGCUGGAAUGAAGGGUUUGACGAGAAAAAUACUGUCUCAAUUUAAUUUUAGUUAGAAUUUUAUUUUUAAGUAAAAAAGCUUAAAUGAAUUUAAAAGACGAGAAGACCCUAUAGAGUUUUAUAAUUAAUAUAAUAUAAUUUUUAAUGAAAUUUACUGUAUUUUAUUAUUAUAAAUUAUUUAAUUGGGGUGAUUAAAAAAUUUAAUGAACUUUUUUUUGAUUUUAACAUAUUUAUAUGAAUGAUUGAUCCAUUAUUAAUGAUUAAAAGAUUUAAUUACCUUAGGGAUAACAGCGUAAUUUUUUUUGAGAGUUCUUAUUUAAAAAAGAGUUU
rnacentral:rRNA from 1 species